CCCGGGCCUUGUACACACCGCCCGUCACACCACGAAGGUGGGUUACACCAGAAGUCGGUACGCCAACCGCAAGGAGGUAGCCGCCCAAGGUUUGACUCAUGAUUGGGGUG
rnacentral:rRNA from 1 species